rnacentral:lncRNA from 1 species
AGUCUGCCUCCCUCGGCGGGCCGGGUCUCCAGGGAGGACCUGAUUUUUCUUCACCCAUAGUUAGGGAGGCGCAAUCGCCCUGGCUUUGGGGCUGGGGCCUCCGGGGAGGUUCCGGUAGGGGCGUUGGAGAGGCCGCUCUUUUUGCAAGGCCCGAGACGGCGGGCCCUGCGCAGGCCGCCCUAUUCCGCGCCCUCAGGGCGUCAGUAUCCGCCUGAGGCCGGAUACCCCAGCUGGGCCCGGAUGCCGUCGAUGGGCCCGGAGCAUCCUCGGCGCUGCCCUCCCAGAGCCCCGCAGAGGCUGAGGUGGCGCGGGGGGCGGGCCCGGCUCCGCGAGAAGCAGCGGCAGCGAGGGCUGGAGGACCCGGGCUACGGGGCUCUGGGGCGUCUGGCCUGGGUGGGACUGAGCCCAUUCGGGGGGACUCCGGGGUUCUGGUGUAGGUAGAUCCGGGGCAGGCUCAGGACCAAGUCCCUCUCCUUCCACCAAGGAGCGCCCAGAGGCCGGCGGGAGCUCCAGGUUCACCUCCUCCUCCUCCAGGAAAUCCCACUUCCAACUGGAUGUCUGGAUGAACUACUGAAAGCUGCUGAGUGUCCUGCAGCAGGGUCGGUGGACCUGGGUGUCUGUCUGGACACAUCCUCCAGUGGCCUGGACCUGCCCAUGAAGGUGGUGGACAUGUUCAGGAGCUGUUUGCCUGCGUGUGCUGUGAACUUCAAGUGACGGUAAGGGCCAUGUAGAAUUGAGGAGCCCGCUGGUGCUCCCGGCAGGCAGCCAGCCUCCGCAGGACCCCGACCAGCGACACGAUGGCUUCUGGGCAAUACAGCACGUCUACGGUGAAAGCUUCAGGUUACUGAAAGGGACCAGCGGACAGUUCCAGGUCAUG